AUUGAACGCUGGCGGCAGGCCUAACACAUGCAAGUCGAACGAGUGGCGGACGGGUGAGUAAUGUCUGGGAAACUGCCCGAUGGAGGGGGAUAACUACUGGAAACGGUAGCUAAUACCGCAUACCAUCGGAUGUGCCCAGAUGGGAUUAGCUAGUUGGUGGGGUAACGGCUCACCUAGGCGACGAUCCCUAGCUGGUCUGAGAGGAUGACCAGCAACAUGUGAAAUGAGACACGGGCCAGACGCCUACGGGAGGCAGCAGUGGGGAAUAGUGGACAAUGGGCGCAAGCCUGAUGCAGCCAUGCCGCGUGUAUGAAGAAGGCCUUCGGGUGGUAAAGUACUGUCAGCGGGGAGGCGUUACCCGCAUAAGAAGCACCGGCUAACUCCGUGCCAGCAGCCGCGGUAAUUC
rnacentral:rRNA from 1 species